rnacentral:rRNA from 1 species
AUGAGGUAUAAGCUUGGUGAGCGCACCUUCGAACCUAGCAUCUCAAGGGCCAUCAACCCUCGUUUUCCUUCACUCUAUGCUAAACCAGACGGGCUUGUCGGUAUUGGCAAGCCAAGAAGCGAGAUCAUCAAGUGCCUGAUGGAGGGGAUGGGUGCAUCGAUGCAGCAGCAAAAGGUGAUAUCUAUUGUGGGUCCUGCGGGUCUCGGUAAAACUACACUUGCCAAUGAGGUGUUUCGUAAACUAGAAGGCCAGUUCCAAUGUCGAGCUUUUGUUUCCUUGUCACAACAACCAGAUGUGAGUAAGAUCUUAAGAAACAUACUCUCUCAAGUCUGCCAGCAAGAGCUUCCUAGCACAGAUAUACAGGACGAGGGAAAGCUCAUUGACACAAUAAGAGAAGUUUUAAAGAACAAGAUGUACUUAGUUGUUAUUGAUGAUAUAUGGAGUACUCAAGCACGGAAGAUUCUCAAAUGUUCUUUGUUUCUGAAUGAUCUGGGAAGCAGAAUAAUGACGACAACACGUAGUAUUGAUAUAGCCAAGUCAUGUUGCUCUCAACGCCAUGAUCAUGUCUAUGAAAUAAUGCCUCUGACGGCAGCCAACUCUAAGAGUUUAUUUUUUAAACGAAUAUUUGGCUCAGAAGAUAUAUGUCCUCCUCAAUUGGAAGAAGUCUCCUCGGAAAUAUUAAAAAAGUGUGGUGGUUCACCAUUAGCAAUUCUUACAAUAGCAAGUUUAUUGGCUAAUAAAGCUUGCACAAAUGAAGAAUGGGAGUGGUGUAUAAUUCGAUCGGUUCCACACUGGGAAAGGACCCCGGUGUAG